GACGAACGCUGGCGGCGGGCUUAACACAUGCAAGUCGAACGGAAAGGCCCUGCUUUUGUGGGGUGCUGGAGUGGCGAACGGGUGAGUAACACGUGAGUACCCUGCCCUUGAGUUUGGGAUAACUUCAGGCAAAUGGGGCUAAUACCGGAUAGGAGCUCCUGCUGCAUGGUGGGCGUUGGACAGUUUCGGCGGUUGGGGAUGGACGCGCGGCUUAUCAGCUUGUUGGUUGGGUAGUGGCUUACCAAGGCUUGGACGGGUAGCCGGGCUGAGAGGGUGACCGGCCACACUGGAACGGAGCUGCGGCCCAGACUCCUCCGGGAGGCAGCGGUGGAGAAUAUUGCACAGUGGGAGGAGGGCUGGUGCAGCAACGCCGCGUGCGGGAUAUCGGCAUGCUGGUAGUAAACUGCUUUCGUCUGUGACGGGGCGAGAGUGACGGUAACGGGUAAAGAAGCACCGGCUAACUACGUG
rnacentral:rRNA from 1 species